rnacentral:lncRNA from 1 species
UAGGACAUAAUGUUUUAUUUUAUCUAGCUAAAUUCAUGUUUGCAAAUUUAGGAACAUCAUAUGAUUGAGCGACCAAAAAAAUAAACUAACUACUUCAAUGAGGAUAUUCAUAUAUUUCCUUCAAAAAGUAUGCAUUAAAUAAAGUUUUAUACGCAUCAUAAUGUCCCAGUACUGAAGUCAGGUGGAACAGGAAUUGCAGCAAAACUUGCAUGUCGUAGUGAACACUCAAGACUAUUCUGUUAUCAAUUAAAUAAAACUACCUGUAUUUUGAAUUGUAAAUAGUAUAUUCUAGCAUAAGCGUUUCAGUCCCAUGUUGCUGAUUCCCUGAGUACUUUUCAGUUUUUCACAUGAUCCAGAAAAACUGCUUCAAGAAAAACGAUGGAACCAAAUUAUAUUAUCAUUCUAUUAUGCUCUGUCUCAAUUUAAGAAACACAAGAAAGAUAAGAGGAUAGGGACCUUUGACAAAUUCCUUUGCAUGCUUCUUGCACGGUGGAUAACGACCAGGGUACGAUAAUAUAGGCACCGGUAAAAUCCCUGAUAGCAGCAACCAAAUCAUAAAGAUGUAUUGCUGGGCAGAUCAUGCCAUUCUCAUGAAACCUUGGACCGUUUGCAUUCAUUGGCCUUUGUGAUCUAAUAUGAACCGCCGACAAUAGCUUUACUUUUCACACAGUUCACACACAAUAACCAACUGAAUGGACAUAAACAAACCUCCUUUUCUCUUCAAUACGUAGAAGUUUGCAAGCUUGAAGCCACGGCAAUAGCUUCCGAACAAUCAAAGAUCUGAUUACCACCUGCUAUACACCGCUGAUUAAUUCCCAUCCAUCAAUGUCACAUGAUAUUCUAACCAUGCACUGCAAGCAGUACCUGGUCUUAGCACCUGCGGCAUUGCACACUGCGCACAGGGUGGUCACCAGUGGGUGGGGAGACAUGGAUACAGCAUACACCAC